GAUCGAGUUGUAAUUUGAAGAAGCGUUUUCUGCGUAUUUGAUCAGCCUAAGUCCUAUUGAAUGAGGCAUCACGGAGGGUGAUAAUCCCGUCCGGUUGAUCAUUUGCGUUUUACGAUACGCUUUCUAAGAGUCAAGUUGUUUGGGAUUGCAGCUUAAAAUGGGAGGUAAAUUUCUUCCUAAGGCUAAAUAACGGCGAGAGACCGAUAGCGAACAAGUACC
rnacentral:rRNA from 1 species